rnacentral:rRNA from 1 species
UGACCCUACGGGACGCAGCAGUAGGGAAUCUUCCACAAUGGACGAAAGUCUGAUGGAGCAACGCCGCGUGAGUGAAGAAGGGUUUCGGCUCGUAAAGCUCUGUUGGUAGGGAAGAAAGAUAGAGGUAAUAACUGGCCUUUAUUUGACGGUAAUUACUUAGAAAGUCACGGCCAACUACUUGGCAGCAGCCGCGGUAAUACGUAGGUGGCAAAGGUUGUUCGGUUUUAUUGGGCGUAAAGCGAGUGC